rnacentral:rRNA from 1 species
UACAGAGGUCCCAAGCGUUGUUCGGAUUCAUUGGGCGUAAAGGGUGCGUAGGCGGCGCGGUAAGUCGGGUGUGAAAUCUCGGGGCUUAACUCCGAAACUGCAUUCGAUACUGCCGUGCUUGAGGACUGGAGAGGAGACUGGAAUUUACGGUGUAGCGGUGAAAUGCGUAGAGACCGGGAAGAACACCAGUGGCGAAGGCGGCUACCUGGACAGGUACUGACGCUGAAGCGCGAAAGCUAGGGGAGCAAACAGG